rnacentral:rRNA from 1 species
UUUUCGGAGCGUAAACUCCUUUUAUCAGGAAAGAAUAAUGACGGUACCUGAUGAAUAAGCACCGGCUAACUCCGUGCCAGCAGCCGCGGUAAUACGGGGGGUGCAAGCGUUACUCGGAAUCACUGGGCGUAAAGGACGCGUAGGCGGAUUAUCAAGUCUUUUGUGAAAUCUAGUGGCUUAACCACUAAACUGCUUAGGAAACUGAUAGUCUAGAGUAGGGGAGAGGUAGAUGGAAUUCUUGGUGUAGGGGUAAAAUCCGUAGAGAUCAAGAAGAAUACCCAUUGCGAAAGCGAUCUGCUGGAACCUAACUGACGCUGAGGCGUGAAAGCGUGGGUAGCAAACAGGAUUAGAUACCCUGGUAGUCCACGCCCUAAACGAUGUAUACUAGUUGUUGCUUUGCUAGUCAAGGCAGUAAUGCAGCUAACGCAUUAAGUAUACCGCCUGGGGAGUACGGUCGCAAGAUUAAAACUCAAAGGAAUAGACGGGGACCCGCACAAGCGGUGGAGCAUGUGGUUUAAUUCGAAGAUACGCGAAGAACCUUACCUGGACUUGACAUCCUAAAAACAUCUAAGAGAUUAGAAAGUGCUAGUUUACUAGAAUUUAGUGACAGGUGCUGCACGGCUGUCGUCAGCUCGUGUCGUGAGAUGUUGGGUUAAGUCCCGCAACGAGCGCAACCCACGUGUUUAGUUGCUAACAGCUCGGCUGAGCACUCUAAACAGACUGCCUUCGUAAGGAGGAGGAAGGUGUGGACGACGUCAAGUCAUCAUGGCCCUUAUGUCCAGGGCGACACACGUGCUACAAUGACAUAUACAGUAAGACGCAAUAUCGCAAGAUGGAGCAAAUCUAUAAAAUAUGUCCCAGUUCGGAUUGGGGUCUGCAACUCGACCCCAUGAAGCCGGAAUCGCUAGUAAUCGUAGAUCAGCCAUGCUACGGUGAAUACGUUCCCGGGUCUUGUACACACCGCCCGUCACACCAUGGAAGUUGAUCUCACUCGAAGCAGGGAUGCUAAAAUAGCUACCUUCCACAGUGGAAUCAGUAACUGGGGUGAAGUCGUAACAAGGUAACCGUAGGAGAACCUGCGGUUG